UCAAACGAGGUUGCUUACUGAACUCAGUC
rnacentral:piRNA from 1 species